GGACCACUCUGAUGGCCUAGUGGUUAGAGCGUCCGCCUCGGAUGCAGGAGGUCGCGUGUUCGAAACCCGGCAAAGUCAUUCCA